rnacentral:rRNA from 1 species
AUUGAACGCUGGCGGCAGGCCUAACACAUGCAAGUCGAGCGAGCGGCGGACGGGUGAGUAAUGUAUGGGGACUGCCCGAUAGAGGGGGAUAACUACUGGAAACGGUGGCUAAUACCGCAUACUAUCGGAUAACCCAUAUGGGAUUCGCUAGUAGGUGGGGUACAGGCUCAACUAGGCGACGAUCUCUAGCUGGUCUGAGAGGUUGAUCAGCCACCAUGGUACUGAGAUACGGCCCAGACUCCUACGGAGGCAGCAGUGGGGAAUAUUGCACAAUGGGCGCAAGCCUGAUGCAGUCAUGCCGCGUGGAUGAAGAAGGCCUUAGGGUUGUAGAGUACUUUCAGCGGGGAGGCGUUACCCGCAGAAGAAGCACCGGCGAACUCCGUGCCAGCAGCCGCGGUAAUUC